AUCGACGGUCCGGCGUUGAUGGGUUAUCAAUAAUCGCCCCCUGUUCGCAGGGUGGAAAUUUGACUUCCUAGUGAGGUCGCUCUGGAUAGAGGACCCUUGUGGACUGGGUUAAAGUUCACAACCCCCUCCCAUCAACACCAACUUGACCGUUGU
rnacentral:sRNA from 1 species